rnacentral:tRNA from 1 species
UUCAAUAUGGCAGAAAAUAUGCAGUGAAUUUAAGAUUCACUUAUGAAUCAAAAGAUUCUAUUGAAA